rnacentral:rRNA from 1 species
AAUGAACGCUGGCGGCAUGCCUAACACAUGCAAGUCGAGCGAGCGGCUGACGGGUGAGUACUGUCUGGGAAACUGCCUGUUGGAGGGGGAUAACUACUGGAGACGGUAGCUAAUACCGCAUACCAUCAGAUGUGCCCAGGUGGGAUUAGCUAGUAGGUGGGGUAAUGGCUUACCUAGGCGACGAGCCCUAGCUGGGCUGAGAGGAUGACCAGCCACACUGGAACUGAGACACGGCCCAAACUCCUACGGGAGGCAGCAGUAGGGAAUAUUGCACAAUGGGCGAAAGUCUGAUGCAGCAAUGCCGCGUGAGUGAAGAAGGCCUUCGGGUUGUAAAGCACUGUCGGCGGGGAGGCGGUAACCAAAGAAGAAGCAACGGCUAACUCCGUGCCAGCAGCCGCGGUAAUAC